AUUUUGUGGCGUUAAGUAGGAGAGCGCGGGCGGCGCCCCGCUCAUUUCCUCGCAGCAGCGGGCAAGGGCGGUAGUUGCUGACGCUUCGUCUCUGCUCCGGCCUUAGGCCAUCUGCCCCCGAACCCCGGAGCCGCAACCGCCCCUCGGGGGCUAUUGCCCGCCAUGAGCUACGGGCGCCCCCCGCCGGACGUGGAGGGCAUGACGUCCCUCAAGGUGGACAACCUGACCUACCGCACCUCCCCGGACACGCUGCGGAGGGUCUUCGAGAAGUAUGGCCGCGUGGGCGACGUUUACAUCCCCCGGGACCGCUACACCAAGGAGAGCCGCGGCUUUGCCUUCGUCCGCUUCCACGACAAACGCGACGCUGAGGACGCCAUGGACGCCAUGGACGGAGCCGUGCUGGACGGCCGCGAGCUCCGCGUGCAGAUGGCCCGCUACGGCCGCCCCCCCGACUCACACCACAGUCGGCGGGGCCCGCCGCCGCGCCGCUACAGCAGCAGCGGCUACGGCCGCCGCAGCCGCAGUCCUAGAAGACGUCGUCGCAGCCGAUCUAGGAGCAGGAGCCGCUCUAGAUCCCGCAGUCGGUCCCGCUACAGUCGGUCCAAGUCCAGAUCUCGCACACGCUCUCGGUCUCGCUCCACCUCGAAGUCCAGGUCUGCCAGGAGAUCCAAGUCAAAGUCCUCGUCUGUCUCCAGAUCGCGGUCCAGGUCGAGGUCUCGGUCCAGAUCUAGAAGCCCUCCCCCUGCCUCAAAGAGGGAAUCUAACUCCAGAUCCAGGUCGAAGAGCCCUCCCAAGUCUCCAGAAGAAGAAGGAGCUGUAUCCUCUUAGGAAAAUGCUGCGGUCUCCUGUUUGCUAAAAGAAUAUUGGCCAGUAUUGCAGAUUUUAACUGAUUUGGCUGAUCCUCCAGGGACCAGUUUCUGUGGGCGUGUGUUGGAGCAGAUGCAUCAGAUAGAGAAUCUACAUAAAGGACGCCUUUGGGGGGAAAAGAUCGCUUGAGUCUUCAGUCCAUUGGAGAGACCCCUGGCACAAGCAACCAGCUGAUGAAAAGGUUAUUUUGUAACAUUUUGUCUAACUUUUUACUUGUUUAAUUUGCGCCUCAAGUGGCAGAUUUUACAUUUUAUGUGCCAUUUUGUUGCUGUUAUUCAAAUUUCUUGUAAUUUAGUGAAGUGAACGACUACCGAUUUCAUUAUUGGCUUGGAUAUUUGAGGUAAAACUUCAUUUUUGUUUAUAUAGUGCUGACUUUUAUUUGAAAUUAAACUGAUGGUAACUUGCUGCCUCAGGUUUCAUACUGAGGAAACAUGGAGCCAUUAUAUGCUGAGUAGCUAACUGUCAGAAAGUAUUCUCAAUUUUGUCUUCAUUCCUUAAAUAAAAUUCUGCAGAACUUCAAAUUGAAAUUUACUGUAAAUGCUUUUUUACUUUGAAUUAAAAUAGUAUCUUCAAAUCCAAAUUGGUAGAAAUCUUUUCAGGUGACAGUUGAUUUUUUUGUUUUUUUUUUUUUUUUUGAAAGGAUUGUUUUAUCAGACUCAAUUCUAAUCUCUUCUCUUAUGUAUUUUUGUGCACUAGGCGCAGUUGUGUAGCAGUUGAGUAAUGCUGGUUAGCUGUUAAGGUGGCGUGUUGCAGUGCAGAGUGCUUGGCUGUUUCCUGUUUUCUCCUGAUUGCUCCAGUGUAACGAUGCCUUGUCGUGCAGAAACAAAUGGCUGUCCAGUUAAUUAAAAUGCCUGACAACUGCACUUCCAGUCACCCGGGCCUUGCAUAAAAAUAAUGGAGCAUACAGUGAGCACAUCUAGCUGAUGAUAUACACACCCUAUUUUUUCCAGAAUGUUAAAUCUCACCAACAUACAUAUAUGAACUUACGUAUGAGAAAUGUAAUGUUAACAAAGAAAUGGUUCAUUCUUUUGUAAGUACUGAUUGGUGUAUCUUUUGCUUAAGACAUUCUGUACUAUACCCACUGUCUCUGUAGUUUAAUAUUAAACAUUUUUCUGUGUUAACUUUUCUCAACUUAAUGUCCGAGUCAGCUUAUUUUUAGCUUGAAAAGAUUUCUGCAAUUACACUGUCAAUGUUUAACUUCUAUAUAGUAACUGAAUGCAUUCUACUGCUUCUAAAUAUUACCCACUGGGGUUGCUUUUAAAUUCCUAAGGACAGACUUACUAGUAUUGUGACUAACCAAAACACUGUAAGACAAGUAUUGCACACCAAACUAAACAAAAUUAGGCAGGUCUGUUAGAUGUUGUUAUGGAAGAUACACACUGAGCAGUACUAAUUGCAUUUGCUGUGUGCUUGCCCUGACUCAACAGGUUGCUGCUUGAUGGCAGAUAAUCUAGUGAUGAGAUUUUUGAGUUGGAUACUAAAUGAAUUGUAACUUCAACCAUCAUAUGUCAAGGGUUAUUGUAAUGCCUUGUUAACUUUGUGCAUGUAUGUUAAAUGGAAACAUCUGAAUACUUAAUCUGGCUUGAUUGAGGAUUAAAAAUACUUUUCUACAAUCUGAGGAGUUUGUAUAUUCCAGGACUGCAUGGCUGGCAGCAGUCUACAUAAAUUCUCUCUUUUUUUUUUAAUGGGGGGAGGGUUGGCUUUUGCAUAUGAAUCUUCAGGAAGGAGUUUCAGUCCUGGAAAACUGAUCUUUAAGGGUGGUUUUUAUCCUGAAUGAGUAUAGUUUAAAAUUUACAACCGUGAAGAAAAGGGUAAGUUUGAUCUAGUGGAUUGUAAAGCUGUUAAGCUAUGUUGCAUAGUGACUUACAUAAUGAAAUUGAGUACUUGAACUAUUAAAUUAUCUCAGAGAAGGACAAAUUUCUCAAAAGCCAUAGCUGAAGACUUGAACAGCUUUAUUUUUGCGAUGCAUGUUUAAAAAAAAAAUACCACUGAAGGUAUGAGGUGGUAUGAGGUUUGCUGCAAAUCAGACUGUUUCCUGCAGAUCCAUGCUACAGUAACAUCUUGUAUUGGAAACAAGAAGUGGAAUAAACUUAAGUACCAUCUGA